rnacentral:rRNA from 1 species
GACGAACGCUGGCGGCGUGCCUAAAACAUGCAAGUUGAGCGAUGAAGCUUGGUGCUUGCCCCAAUUUGAAGAGCAGCGAACGGGUGAGUAACGCGUGGGGAAUCUGCCUUUGAGCGGGGGACAACAUUUGGAAACGAAUGCUAAUACCGCAUAACAACUUUAAACAUAAGUUUUAAGUUUGAAAGAUGCAAUUGCAUCACUCAAAGAUGAUCCCGCGUUGUAUUAGCUAGUUGGUGAGGUAAAGGCUCACCAAGGCGAUGAUACAUAGCCGACCUGAGAGGGUGAUCGGCCACAUUGGGACUGAGACACGGCCCAAACUCCUACGGGAGGCAGCAGUAGGGAAUCUUCGGCAAUGGACGAAAGUCUGACCGAGCAACGCCGCGUGAGUGAAGAAGGUUUUCGGAUCGUAAAACUCUGUUGGUAGAGAAGAACGUUGGUGAGAGUGGAAAGCUCAUCAAGUGACGGUAACUACCCAGAAAGGGACGGCUAACUACGUG